rnacentral:misc_RNA from 1 species
CACCGUCCCGAGCCGCUUGCGCGCCAAUAGCUCGAGGGACGCAUCCGCGCCCUCAUAGGCAUAGCCCUGCGCUUCGCGCUCCUUGAUCUCGGCGAGCAGCCCGUCGAGACGUGGAUCGGCGCGUUCGAUCGGCAGGCCGAAGCGCUCCAGCUCGGCGAUCAGAUUGGAGCGGCCGGCCUGGUCCGAAACCAUCACCCGGCGGGAAUUGCCGACGGCCUCCGGCGGGAUGUGCUCGUAUGUCUCCGGCGCUUUCAGGAUCGCCGAGGCAUGGAUGCCGGCCUU